CCAACAGCCCAGCAAAACAGUGACAAGAAGAGUUCCAACAACACCCAGGGACACAGAGAGCAAAGAGGGUGCCUCAGGCCUCUCCCAGCCAGCAGACCUUUUCCUGGUCCUUGUGGCGAGAAGCCUCUUGGAUAUUCCUGCCCAAAGAGACUGAGUGGGUGAAUGGAAGAUGCAGACACAAUUAAGCAGAUAUUGCAAACAGGAGGAUAUGUUUCAUGGACACAAGCUGCCAGAGUCUCGCAGUAACCAGUCCCAACCAAAAAUAUUUCCCUUUCGGAUUUUGUCAUUAUAUCCCAGAUCUGUUCUCACAGUGGAAAACUUGAAAAGGUUGGAAGAGGAAUAUGCAGCUUCUAAAAAAGCCUUCAAAAUGCAGAGAAUGCAAGAUUAUAUUGAGCAGGUUAAUCUUGCUCUCUUCAACAAAGAGACAACUAGGACAACCAGCAGAGAUUUUGUCUGUGAUGCAGAGCCUGAAGGAGCCUCAUCAUCUCUUCCUGCAAAACAAGCAAACAUUGCAAUUGAGUUUUCUCAAAGACCUCUGAAGAAAGAAGAGAGAUUGACAGCACUGUAUUCUCAGUCCACUCAGCCCACAAGACUUGUGCCAAAGAAAUCCAGGCUGCUCUUCCAGCUGAGGAAAAAAAAUAGGUCUGAUUCCCCAGCCACAGUAAAUCACCAUAAUACCACCCAUCCCACCACCAGUGCUGCUGCAGAAAGGCGGAUUUACACCAUCUUGGAGACGUAGCUCCCUCCUCCCAUCUGCCCGAUAUAAACAUACAGACGUAUCUAAUCCUCCCUGCAGAGAGAGGGCAGAGAGAGAACAUUGAAAAGACAGCCGAUUCAAUUUAAUAAUAAACAAUAAAAAAACAAAGACCA
ensembl:lncRNA